rnacentral:tRNA from 1 species
GUUGUGUUAGUUUAAAUAGAACAUUUGCUUUGCAUGUAAAGAGUGGAAAUCUUUUUCACCCAACA